rnacentral:rRNA from 1 species
GUGUCAGCCGCCGCGGUAAUACGUAGGUGGCAAGCGUUGUCCGGAUUUACUGGGCGUAAAGAGCGCGCAGGCGGUCAAUCAAGUCGAGUGUGAAAGCCCCCGGCUCAACUGGGGAGGGUCACUCGAUACUGUUUGACUCGAAGGCGGGAGAGGGAAGUGGAAUUCCCGGUGUAGUGGUGAAAUGCGUAGAUAUCGGGAGGAACACCAGUGGCGAAGGCGACUUCCUGGCCCGUUCUUGACGCUGAGGCGCGAAAGCUAGGGGAGCAAACGGGAUUAGAUACCCCUGUAGUCC